GCCAGGUGUGGUGGUUCACGCCUGUAAUCCCAGCACUUUGGGAGGCUGAGGUGGGUGGAUCACCUGAGGUCAGGAGUUCGAGACCAGCCUGGCCAACAUGGUGAAACCCCAUCUCUA
rnacentral:SRP_RNA from 1 species